rnacentral:rRNA from 1 species
AUUGAACGCUGGCGGCAGGCCUAACACAUGCAAGUCGAACGAGUGGCGGACGGGUGAGUAAUGUCUGGGAAACUGCCCGAUGGAGGGGGAUAACUACUGGAAACGGUAGCUAAUCCCGCAUACCAUCGGAUGUGCCCAGAUGGGAUUAGCUAGUAGGUGGGGUAACGGCUCACCUAGGCGACGAUCCCUAGCUGGUCUGAGAGGAUGACCAGCCACACUGGGACUGAGACACGGUCCAGACUCCUACGUGAGGCAGCAGUGGGGAAUAUUGCACAAUGGGCGAAAGACUGAUGCAGCAAUGCCGCGUGUAUGAUGAAGGCCUUCGGAUUGUAAAGUACUUUCAGCGUGGAAGCGUUAUUCGCAGAAGAAGCACCGGCUAACUCCGUGCCAGCAGCCGCGGUAAUGC